UACGUAGGUGGCAAGCGUUGUCCGGAUUUACUGGGCGUAAAGGGAGCGUAGGUGGUUAUUUAAGUGGGAUGUGAAAUCCCCGGGCUUAACCUGGGGGCUGCAUUCCAAACUGGAUGUCUAGAGUGCAGGAGAGGAGAGUGGAAUUCCUAGUGUAGCGGUGAAAUGCGUAGAGAUUAGGAAGAACACCAGUGGCGAAGGCGACUCUCUGGACUGUAACUGACACUGAGGCUCGAAAGCGUGGGGAGCAAACAGG
rnacentral:rRNA from 1 species